rnacentral:rRNA from 1 species
GACAGAGGGUGCUAGCGUUGUUCGGAAUUACUGGGCGUAAAGGGCGCGUAGGCGGCUUGUUUAGUCGGGUGUGAAAUCCCGGGGCUCAACCCCGGAACUGCAUUCGAUACUGGCAGGCUAGAGACCGGAAGAGGUGGGUGGAAUACCCAGUGUAGAGGUGAAAUUCGUAGAUAUUGGGUGGAACACCGGUGGCGAAGGCGGCUCACUGGUCCGGUUCUGACGCUGAGGCGCGAAAGUGUGGGGAGCAAACAGG